GACGAACGCUGGCGGCGCGCUUAACACAUGCAAGUCGAGCGAGAACCAGGGCUUCGGCCCUGGGGACAGCGGCGAACGGGUGAGUAACACGUGGGUAAUCUGCCCUCGGCACCGGAAUAGCCCGGGGAAACCCGGAUUAAUGCCGGAUGGCCCCUUCACCUCGCGAGGUGUCGGGAAAAGGUAGCUUCGGCCUCUGGCCGAGGAUGAGCCCGCGGCGGAUUAGCUUGUUGGCGGGGUAACGGCCCACCAAGGCGACGAUCCGUAGCUGGUCUGAGAGGCCGAGCAGCCACACUGGGACUGAGACACGGCCCAGACUCCUACGGGAGGCAGCAGUGGGGAGUCUUGCGCAAUGGGCGAAAGCCUGACGCAGCGACGCCACGUGAGGGAAGACGGCCUUCGGGUUGUAAACCUCUAUCAGGAGGGACGAAGCUACUCGGGUGAAUAGCCCAGAGGGUGACGGUACCUCCAGAAGAAGCCCCGGCUAACUACGUGCCAGCCGCCGCCGUAAAAC
rnacentral:rRNA from 1 species